GGAGCUUUAGCUCAGUUGGGAGAGCAUCCAGCUCAUAACUGGACGGUCGCAUGUUCAAGUCAUGCAAGCUCCA
rnacentral:tRNA from 2 species